AGGACGAACGCUGGCGGCGUGCUUAACACAUGCAAGUCGAGCGGUAAGGCCUUUCGGGGUACACGAGCGGCGAACGGGUGAGUAACACGUGGGUGAUCUGCCCUGCACUCUGGGAUAAGCCUGGGAAACUGGGUCUAAUACCGGAUAUGACCUGCUCUCGCAGUGGGGGUGGUGGAAAGAUUUAUCGGUGCAGGAUGGGCCCGCGGCCUAUCAGCUUGUUGGUGGGGUAAUGGCCUACCAAGGCGACGACGGGUAGCCGACCUGAGAGGGUGACCGGCCACGACGUGGACUGAGACACGGCCCAGACCUCCGUACGGGAGGCAGCAGGUGGGAAUAGUUGGCAACAAGUGGGACGAAAGCCUAGAUG
rnacentral:rRNA from 1 species